rnacentral:rRNA from 1 species
UUGACGGGGGCCCGCACAGCGGUGAGCAUGUGGUUUAAUUCGAAGCAACGCGAAGAACCUUACCAGGUCUUGACAUCCCCUGACAACCCGAGAGAUCGGGCGUUCCCCCUUCGGGGGACAGGGUGACAGGUGGUGCAUGGUUGUCGUCAGCUCGUGUCGUGAGAUGUUGGGUUAAGUCCCGCAACGAGCGCAACCCUCGACCUUAGUUGCCAGCAUUCAGUUGGGCACUCUAAGGUGACUGCCGGCUAAAAGUCGGAGGAAGGUGGGGAUGACGUCAAAUCAUCAUGCCCCUUAUGACCUGGGCUACACACGUGCUACAAUGGGCGGUACAAAGGGUCGCGAACCCGCGAGGGGGAGCCAAUCCCAAAAAGCCGCUCUCAGUUCGGAUUGCAGGCUGCAACUCGCCUGCAUGAAGCCGGAAUCGCUAGUAAUCGUGGAUCAGAAUGUCACGGUGAAUACGUUCCCGGGUCUU